rnacentral:lncRNA from 1 species
AAAUUCAUCCUUCCUAUAACAUUUAUGACUAAAAUUAUAUCAGUGACCCUAGCAACCGUUCUUCCUUUCAUCAUCCCCCUCUCCAGCACCUCUGCUUCCCAUCAGUGCUGUCACCAGCAGUGUCGCCGUGAGAGACUCUGACAGAGUCACAGGAGCACAGAAACCACCACGCCCAGGGCUAGAGGUGCCUUGGUCUGAGCACGUGUUGGUGCCAACACUUGUGAGGGUUUCAGCCUGUCUGGAGCACCGAGUGUUACAUCAGCCUGGUAAUGGUAACCUAAGCUACCAGCAGCAGGGAGGCGUUUGUGCUGUGCUUUGCUGCGAGCAGCGCUCAGAGCCUGUGACACUGUCUGACACUGACUGAUUAAGAUACAGGUGCUGUGGUGCUGUCAGGAAAGAAGAAAGAGGACUUGCCGUGCUGUUGUUGCUCAUGGAUCUCCAGCAGGGCAGCAGCCAGACACCGGUGCACAGCAGCACCGUGCUCUUCCACCUCUUCGGAGAAUUACUUUCCAGUCAACCUGAGGAGAUGAAGAACACACCUCGUUUUUAACACAGCCUGUCCCUCCACACAGACUCCAAAGUCUGUGUAUCACAGCCUUCCCUCUGUUCUUGCAGAAGACUCAAAGAAUCCCUGAAGAACUACUUUAGGAUGGCUUUUUCACCAUCAGCUGACAGGGACCUGCAGGAAGCCAAUCUUGAGCAAAAGGACUUCCACAACAAUCACUGUGCAUCUAAACCCAGAACAUUAUUCCUACAAUGAGGAUCCUGCAUUGAUUCCAAAGAAGACCCAGGCCCCUAUUGUGCUAGGCACUAUAGCAACAGACAGUAAAAGGCAGUCCUUGUUCCUAAAGACCUUUCUAUCUAAACAGACAAGACACUGCCAGAGAUUUAUCUUUUAUUCUUCCAUUUAUAACAGUUGCAAAACAACUUGGAUGAAGAAUAAAAAUUGCAAUGAAUAGGACGUGAUGAUCCCAGCUGUGGGAUGAAUCCAUAUGGAGGUGGGAAACCUCAAUCCAGUGAAAGCAUGGAGGGGUAUAAUCCUGAACCAGCUGAAGCAAUGUGAGAACUCUACAGACUCUACUGGGAGCCAGGAUUUCCCCUCUCUGUCCAUGUUCACCAGGUGUGUGUGUGCAUAACACAAUGCAGAGCUGUAGAGGUAUUUCCAAGCUCCCUGGCACCAGAAGCAGCGCCACUGCUCCCAUCGGGGGCUGAGCCCGGUGCUGUCACUGCUGCCACUGAGCUCAGUGCCUGGAUUGCUGUGGUGUGUGUGAGCACAGCCCCAGCCCUGCUGCACUGGGCUUCCUGCAGAGCUGCCUGCAACAGUGCACCGCAGAGGGCUCACAGGGGUCACUGCUCUGGCACCAAACCACUGACCUGCCAGUGACAGUAAGCUGAAUGAUUAAUUAUGGUCUACAGCACUCCAUGGUCUACAGUGCAGGGGCUAUUUAGGUGACAGUGGACUCCCUGAACAUACUGUGUUUCUUGCUGCAAGUCUUUUCUCUAAGGGAUACAGACUAAAAAUAUUCCUGAGGUACAGCUCAUAAACAGAACUGUCCCCUGCUCUGAUCUUGCUGAUGCUCUAUGUUGUUAUUUACUUAAAUUGCAUAGCUCCCUAGCACUAACAGGAGACUCUGGUAACUUAUUUCUUGUAUUUUGGAAGCAAUGCAAUGCACAAUAAAGCAGAGAUAA